rnacentral:lncRNA from 1 species
GCGGGAGCCCCGCCCACCCAGAAUCUGGGACCACGGACUACGGCGGGUGAUUUGUUUUCUGUUUCUACCUCAGGAGAGAGUCUUGCUACGUUUCAGGCUGGCCUGCUUCUCCCAGAGAUGCUCCCGCCUCAGCCUCCCACGGGCGGGGCAGGCCGCCGUCCUGAGAGGCACAGGCGCGGAGGCCGGGGCGUAGAGAGGCCGUACUCACCCUUGGCCGUGUCGUAGAUGCCGAAGUAGGCGGCGCGGUAGAUGAUGAUGCCCUGCACCGACACGUUGAAGCCCUGGUAGAGCCCGCGGACGCCGUCCGACCUGGUGAUCUUCACCAGGCAGUCGCCCAGGCCCUUGAACUCACGCUCGGCGCCCGACUUGCCCACGUCGGCGGCGAGGCGGGUCCGGGCGAAAUCCAGCGGGUACACGAAGCACAGGGAGGUGGCACCGGCCGCGCCCCCCGAGGCCAGGUUGCCGGCGAAGUACCUCCAGAACUGCGUGUGCUUGUCCACGCCUCCCAGGAAGAUCUGCUUGUACUUAUCCUUGAAGGCGAAGUUCAGGGCUUGCGUGGGGAAGUAGCGGAUGACGUUGGCCAGGUUCCCCCGCCAGAAGGACAGCACGCCCUGCUCCUUGGGGAUGCGCACGAUGCAGUCCACGAUGCCCUUGUACUGCUUCUCGGCCGCGAUCUGCUUGCUGGCGUGCUGGAGCUGCAGCUGGGGCUGCCGGGGCUGGGACAGAGCAGUUAUGAGGCGGGGAAUGAGCAGCGGGCAGCCUGCAGUCUCGGCCCAGAGCUGAGACCUGGGCACCGCCCUCUCACUCUGUCGGGAGCUCUUGCUCCGGCUCUGUGUCUGUGUCUUUUCUCUUCCUUUUUCUCAGUACAGUGGAACGAACCCGGGACCUGUGCACGGGGCUCUGCCCCCAGCCCUUUCUUUACUUUUAGAUUUUGAGUCUUAGGGGCUCAGGUUGGGCUCCAGCUUGAGAUUCUCCUGCCUCAGCCUCCCAGAGUGCUAGGGUGGCAGGUGUGAGUCACCAACAUCUGACUUCUCUCUUCCUCCACCUUUUUUUCUGCUUCUACCUCCCUCCUCCCUACUGUCUGCCUCUACCUCUUUCUCUGUGUCUAUUUCCUUCUGUCUGCAUCGUCUUCCCAUUUUCUUUUUUGGUAGCAGGACUCGAACUCAGGGCCUCCCUCUUCCCAGGUAGCUGUGCUGACUGCUGAACUCCGUCUCCAGCUCCUUCCCUCGUUUUGUGUCCCUCUCUCCCUGUCUGUUUUCUGUCUCCGUCUCUCUCUCUCCCUCUAUUUCUUUCCUUCUCUCUUUGCAUCUCUGUUACUGUGUGUUUCUGUCUCCGGUCUCCCUGUGUAUCUGUCUCCGCUUCUCUGUCCUCCUUUGCGAGAUGUGUUCUUUUUCGAGACCGUGUCUCGCUAUGGAGCCUAGGCUGGCUUUGAACAUCCAGCAGUCCUCCCGCCUCAGCCUCCCGGUGCUGGAAUGACAGGUGUCCGUUCACACGGAGACGCGGUGUGACGCCGUCUCCCCCGCCGUCCUUGGAGCUGUGACACGGUUUGCGCCUACAGGGUCCUCAGUGUCGACCUCCUCCCCGCGGCCCCGUGGCAGGUGGGGGUCAAGGCAGACGUGAGGUAAUGGGGGGUGGCCGCGCCCCCUCCUUCCUGGCGCCCCCGGGACUCCAUUUCCCUCUCCCUUCACCCAGACGUGAGUGAGGUGUGGACGCGUCCAGAGCCUACCUGGGCCCGGCCGGGGGCCUCCGCCUGCGUCCCCUCGGCCUGAGCGCCGCUGUGCAGGACGUAGCCG